rnacentral:rRNA from 1 species
AACGCUGGCGGCGUGCCUAAUACAUGCAAGUCGAACGGUCUUUCUAUGGAAGCUUGCUUCCACUGAGAAGAUAGUGGCGAACGGGUGAGUAACACGUGGGUAACCUGCCCAUAAGAGGGGGAUAACAUCCGGAAACGGGUGCUAAUACCGCAUAGUUUUCUUGAUCGCAUGAUUGAGAAAGGAAAGACGGCCUUUGUGCUGUCGCUUAUGGAUGGACCCGCGGCGUAUUAGUUAGUUGGUGAGGUAACGGCUCACCAAGACGAUGAUACGUAGCCGACCUGAGAGGGUGAUCGGCCACAUUGGGACUGAGACACGGCCCAAACUCCUACGGGAGGCAGCAGUAGGGAAUCUUCCGCAAUGGACGAAAGUCUGACGGAGCAACGCCGCGUGAGUGAAGAAAGGGUUUUCGGAUCGUAAAACUCUGUUGUCAGAGAAGAACAAGUUGGAGAGUAACUGCUCCAGCCUUGACGGUAUCUGACCAGAAAGCCACGGCUAACUACGUGCCAGCAGCCGC